AUUCAAAGGGGAAAAAAAAUGGAAAAGAAAAGGUCAAACACCACACAGAGAAAAGUUUGUUGGAAUUCAAGGGCGACGUUUGAGGAGUUUUGAAGGGAUCCGGAAGAUGAGCGCAAAACUUUCUGACUAGGUGAAUUUUGACAUUUACAAAGGAGUUAUAAAAGGAGGUUUUACUGCUGGUUGUGAGAUAUCCUCCUGGUAGUGGUAGAUAGAGUUUUUGCUGCUAUGGUCAACCAUCUUAAAUUCUACUAAUAAAUACGUUGCUAAGAGGAAUAGAACGUUUCAGUUGUUCUACAUGAUCCGGGGGCGAUGAAUACACAAUCGUGCCGCUGGAAUUGCCGCUCCAUAUGAAAUCAAAGCAGGGUUGUUUAAUGAAGAAAUUGUCCUCGCGUGGAAGUAUUGGGGGGAAAUGAGGGCCUCAGCGGCUUUUCUGCCUGGUCAGGACUAAGAGAAGUGUGAAGAUUAAUGACAAGAAGAGUUGAAUCAUCAUGGAUUUCCAAUUUAGCCACAAUGGAAUCAAGUUUUUCACGCACAGAGCUUUCCAUUGUUGAAUGAAGCAAUUCCAUCCACGAUGGUUGACGGCGGAAAGAGUUGCAGAGCAGAUUGACCCUGUUGAUUCAACAAUAAUGGGUGGCUCUGUGCGUGAAAAACUUGAUUUUGUCUCGACGAAACAGGUAAUACAUGAUGAUUCCACUCCUGUCACUGUUAAUCUUUCACCCUUCGCCUAUUCCUCCAACUUAAUAAUAUCAAUGAUUCUGGUAGAAAAAAGCCACCAAGGCUCCCGUUUCACCCCAAUACCGCCAUGCGAGGUCAAUUUCAUCAUUCAACAAUCCUGUUUCGACUUCACUUGGAGCGGCAAUUCUAGUGGCCCCAUUCCAUCCAUCGUCAGCUGGCUCAUGAAAAACAAAUCGCGACGUUUUAUUCCUCCUACCAAGAUAUCAAUUCACGUAAUUUUGAUCUGACGAGUUUGUGCUCCUCCUCUUUAAGCUGGAGGAUUUUUUGUUCUCCACAACGAUUCAUUGGCCGUUCUGGGAUGCUUCCUGAGCUCAAGACUAAGAAUUUGCUCAGACCUUUGUCCUACAUUCGAAAAAUGGUUGGGUGGUCUUAUUGACAUGUAAAUGUUGCGAGCAAGUCCCUCAGGUGUUCUUGCUAAACCCCUUUACUUGAGUGAAACUCUAGAUGCCAAGAAGGCCUCCACCUUUCAUAGCACGCUUGUCAGCAAUUUCCAUGCUUGAGGACCAUUAUUUGUAUCUUAUUGACAACUACGGACAGGCACUUCGUUUCAACACGAUUGAUUUCACCAUGACUAACGGUUUCAUGGGAGUGGAAGUUAAUAAGUUUGGAACUGAAGACAGGGAUACGUACUUCCUAUAGUGCAACAAGGAGGUCAUAAGGGUUUCUUCAACUGAGUUGAUUCCGUACAGCCAUUUUUGCAUGUAUGGUUUUACAAAAACAGCAUGGAGUUUUUACAAGUAUAAUUUUACGAAAGCAGCUUGGGAAGCGUUGGACGAAGAUGAGAUCCGAGGAAAGAGUUGGUUUCUGUCGAAUUGCAGGGCUAAAUUUUCUUCAGCUGCAGAGGGGACUCCCGUCAAGAAAGUUCACUUCCUUACCACUUGUUGCUUUGAGAAAGUUACAGGAAGACAAUCCUUACUUUUUGGUGGUGGUAAAAUAGAAUGCUUGGUUUCAGGAAACUAAACCGGAAGUCACUUACGUAAUGUCAACUAGGAUCCCUUCAGACAGCUUGUAACCCAAUUUUUCCAAGAAAGACUGGAGAAUCUGCGGAUCAUAUACUGAGUUACGAUGAACAACUUGUUUAACAGACACAAUUAUGGUGCUCAUCAUCAGUUUA